rnacentral:rRNA from 1 species
AGAGUUUGAUCAUGGCUCAGGAUGAACGCUGGCGGCGUGCUUAACACAUGCAAGUCGAACGAACCUUCGGGUUAGUGGCGGACGGGUGAGUAACGCGUGAGAAUCUGCCCUCAGGAGGGGGAUAACGGUUGGAAACGACCGCUAAUACCCCAUAUGCCUACUGGUGAAAUGAAUUUCGCCUGAGGAUGAGCUCGCGUCUGAUUAGCUAGUUGGUGAGGUAAUGGCUCACCAAGGCUUCGAUCAGUAGCUGGUCUGAGAGGAUGAUCAGCCACACUGGGACUGAGACACGGCCCAGACUCCUACGGGAGGCAGCAGUGGGGAAUUUUCCGCAAUGGGCGAAAGCCUGACGGAGCAACGCCGCGUGAGGGACGAAGGCCUCUGGGCUGUAAACCUCUUUUCUCAAGGAAGAAGAUAUGACGGUACUUGAGGAAUAAGCCACGGCUAAUUCCGUGCCAGCAGCCGCGGUAAUACGGAAGGUGCAAGCGUUAAUCGGAAUUACUGGGCGUAAAGCGCGCGUAGGUGGUUUGUUAAGUUGGAUGUGAAAGCCCUGGGCUCAACCUAGGAACUGCAUCCAAAACUAACUCACUAGAGUACGAUAGAGGGAGGUAGAAUUCAUAGUGUAGCGGUGGAAUGCGUAGAUAUUAUGAAGAAUACCAGUGGCGAAGGCGGCCUCCUGGAUCUGUACUGACACUAAGGUGCGAAAGCGUGGGUAGCGAACAGGAUUAGAUACCCUGGUAGUCCACGCCGUAAACGAUGACAACUAGCUGUUGGGAGACAAUGUCUUUCAGUGGCGCAGCUAACGUUUUAAGUUGUCCGCCUGGGGAGUACGGCCGCAAGGCUAAAACUCAAAUGAAUUGACGGGGACCCGCACAAGCGGUGGAGCAUGUGGUUUAAUUCGAAGAUACGCGCAGAACCUUACCAACACUUGACAUGUUCGUCGCGACUUUAAGAGAUUAAAGUUUUCGGUUCGGCCGGACGAAACACAGGUGCUGCAUGGCUGUCGUCAGCUCGUGUCGUGAGAUGUUGGGUUAAGUCCCGCAACGAGCGCAACCCUCACUUUUAGUUGCCAUCAUUAAGUUGGGCACUCUGAAAGAACUGCCAGUGAUAAGCUGGAGGAAGGUGGGGAUGACGUCAAGUCCUCAUGGCCCUUACGUGUUGGGCUACACACGUGCUACAAUGGUAUUUACAACAGGAAGCAAGACGGCGACGUUAAGCAAAUCCUUAAAAAAUACCUCAGUUCGGAUUGCACUCUGCAACUCGAGUGCAUGAAGCUGGAAUUACUAGUAAUCGUGGAUCAGCGUGCCACGGUGAAUGCGUUCCCGGGUCUUGUACACACCGCCCGUCACACCAUGGGAGUUGGUUCUACCUUAAGGCAAGGUUUUAAACCCUUGACCACGGUAUAGUCAGCGACUGGGGUGAAGUCAUAACAAGGUAGCCGUA